UAGGGAGUUUUCGACAAUGGGGGCAACCCUGAUCGAGCAACGCCGCGUGAGUGAUGAAGGUCUUCGGAUUGUAAAACUCUUUUAUUUGGGAUAAAUGGCUAGGGUAGGUAAUGACCUUAGUUUGAUAGUACCUUUUGAAUAAGCAACGACUAACUACGUGCCAGCAGUCGCGGUAAUACGUAGGUUGCAAGCGUUAUCCGGAAUUAUUGGGCGUAAAGAGUGAGCAGGCGGUCUAUUAAGUUUGAGGUCAAAUCGAUGGGCUUAACCCAUUCUCGCUUCAAAAACUGGUAGACUAGAGUAUGUGAGAGGUAAGUAGAACUCCAUGUGUAGCGGUGAAAUGCGUAGAUAUAUGGAAGAAUACCAGUGGCGAAGGCGGCUUACCAGCACAAUACUGACGCUCAGUCACGAAAGCACAGGGAGCAAAUAGG
rnacentral:rRNA from 1 species